AGUGAACGCUGGCGGCAGGCCUAACACAUGCAAGUCGAACGGCAGCACAAGAGAGCUUGCUCUCUGGGUGGCGAGUGGCGGACGGGUGAGGAAUGCAUCGGAAUCUGCCCAUUUGUGGGGGAUAACCUCGGGAAACCGGGACUAAUACCGCAUACGACCUACGGGUGAAAGCAGGGGAUCUUCGGACCUUGCGCAGAUGGAUGAGCCGAUGCCGGAUUAGCUAGUUGGAGGGGUAAAGGCCCACCAAGGCGACGAUCCGUAGCUGGUCUGAGAGGAUGAUCAGCCACACUGGGACUGAGACACGGCCCAGACUCCUACGGGAGGCAGCAGUGGGGAAUAUUGGACAAUGGGCGCAAGCCUGAUCCAGCCAUGCCGCGUGUGUGAAGAAGGCCUUCGGGUUGUAAAGCACUUUUGUUGGGAAAGAAAAGCGGCCGGUUAAUACCCGGUUGUCAUGACGGUACCCAAAGAAUAAGCACCGGCUAACUUCGUG
rnacentral:rRNA from 1 species